rnacentral:tRNA from 1 species
GCGGCUAUGGUCUAGCAUGGUUUAGGACAAGGGCCUUCCAAGCCUUUAGGACUCUACGAUCUCGUGAAGUUCAGGCAAAACCCGGGUCCAAAUCCCGGUAGCCGCACCA